GAUACUCGACGCUUUGAAGAAAUGACUACAUGACGUCGGCAACACCAAAGGUGGCAGAUGGCUCAAAGAAUUACCCAAUGCCUUGUGGGGCCUACGUACCCAACCAUGCAAGACUACGGGACUAUCACCCUAUUUUCUGGUAUAUUGUUCCGAAGCCAUACUACCCGCCGACAUCAUGUGGCAAUCACCAUCCGUUGAACAAUACGACAAAGAACUUGCAAUAGAAAC
rnacentral:lncRNA from 1 species